rnacentral:rRNA from 1 species
GAUGAACGCUGGCGGCGUGCCUAAUACAUGCAAGUCGAGCGAACGGACGAGAAGCUUGCUUCUCUGAUGUUAGCGGCGGACGGGUGAGUAACACGUGGAUAACCUACCUAUAAGACUGGGAUAACUUCGGGAAACCGGAGCUAAUACCGGAUAAUAUUUUGAACCGCAUGGUUCAAAAGUGAAAGACGGUCUUGCUGUCACUUAUAGAUGGAUCCGCGCUGCAUUAGCUAGUUGGUAAGGUAACGGCUUACCAAGGCAACGAUGCAUAGCCGACCUGAGAGGGUGAUCGGCCACACUGGAACUGAGACACGGUCCAGACUCCUACGGGAGGCAGCAGUAGGGAAUCUUCCGCAAUGGGCGAAAGCCUGACGGAGCAACGCCGCGUGAGUGAUGAAGGUCUUCGGAUCGUAAAACUCUGUUAUUAGGGAAGAACAUAUGUGUAAGUAACUGUGCACAUCUUGACGGUACCUAAUCAGAAAGCCACGGCUAACUACGUGCCAGCAGCCGCGGUAAUACGUAGGUGGCAAGCGUUAUCCGGAAUUAUUGGGCGUAAAGCGCGCGUAGGCGGUUUUUUAAGUCUGAUGUGAAAGCCCACGGCUCAACCGUGGAGGGUCAUUGGAAACUGGAAAACUUGAGUGCAGAAGAGGAAAGUGGAAUUCCAUGUGUAGCGGUGAAAUGCGCAGAGAUAUGGAGGAACACCAGUGGCGAAGGCGACUUUCUGGUCUGUAACUGACGCUGAUGUGCGAAAGCGUGGGGAUCAAACAGGAUUAGAUACCCUGGUAGUCCACGCCGUAAACGAUGAGUGCUAAGUGUUAGGGGGUUUCCGCCCCUUAGUGCUGCAGCUAACGCAUUAAGCACUCCGCCUGGGGAGUACGACCGCAAGGUUGAAACUCAAAGGAAUUGACGGGGACCCGCACAAGCGGUGGAGCAUGUGGUUUAAUUCGAAGCAACGCGAAGAACCUUACCAAAUCUUGACAUCCUUUGACAACUCUAGAGAUAGAGCCUUCCCCUUCGGGGGACAAAGUGACAGGUGGUGCAUGGUUGUCGUCAGCUCGUGUCGUGAGAUGUCGGGUUAAGUCCCGCAACGAGCGCAACCCUUAAGCUUAGUUGCCAUCAUUAAGUUGGGCACUCUAAGUUGACUGCCGGUGACAAACCGGAGGAAGGUGGGGAUGACGUCAAAUCAUCAUGCCCCUUAUGAUUUGGGCUACACACGUGCUACAAUGGACAAUACAAAGGGCAGCGAAACCGCGAGGUCAAGCAAAUCCCAUAAAGUUGUUCUCAGUUCGGAUUGUAGUCUGCAACUCGACUACAUGAAGCUGGAAUCGCUAGUAAUCGUAGAUCAGCAUGCUACGGUGAAUACGUUCCCGGGUCU